AUUAAUAAUGCAACAUUUGCACAUAAGUCCUCUUAUAAUUUACUAACUAUUAGUAAGUCCUCUCUAGUAACAUUUACACUUUAAUACCACUAAUUUGUAACAAUUACAAAUUAGUCCAAUUAUCAACAUAUUGACAAUUAGGUCCUCCGGCGAUUCAAUAAUCGCGAUCUAGCUAUCCGAUCAAUCACAACCUCUUAUGUGUGUGACCCCAUAGGUUCUAUUCUAUCUGGUAGUGAGAUAUAUUUUGAUCACUAUCAACAAUAUCACUGAAACUCCUUUCAAUGGAUUAGAACAAUUCCAACUCAGCCCAAUGAGAAUUAUCGAUCAUCUAGAUAAUUCUCAUGAGUCUCACAAUCCACCAGUGACGCCUAGCAGCAUGUAGUGGCAUUCCAGUAGAAUGGAAUACUGAACCUCUUGGUGCAGUUACCGUGUGAUACAAUCCUUCUAUCAUGAGUCCCGACUAGACGGAGGUUAUGGAAUAACUCGUCAAACCCCAUCGUCUGUCAUAUGUUAAAUUUAUUCGACUCGAGUUUCUAAUAUCGGAAACCCUUUUCCGCUAUUUAUUCUGCCCUGGCCAAGGUCUUCUAAACUCGGUCUCAUAAAUCACAUAGGACUAACACCCCUAUCUACCAAGGGAGAUAGAUUCCAUCUAAGUGCGCACCCUAUUCCUACAAUGAACCUACUGCAGCCAACAUGCACCGCAAGGACCCGAAUGGCUAGGGACCAAGUGUAUGUACAGUCAAACUACAGUAACCUCAUUGUGAAUAGACGAGGCACCGCAGGUCAAAGGACCAGUCACACUACUGCAACAUUGAGUAAGUCACUGACGAGUGAGUAGACAUCCAAGUGACUUCUCGCGUUGGUCAUGCUCGGUACCCUUGUUCUCUAACAACCACCUGCAUAUUCGCUUCAGUGUCCCCACACUAUCGACUCGAGACCCGUCUACCCAAAAGGGAAGCGACCUAUGCACCAAUCUCACCGGAUCAAUCACCGUCUCCGUGAUGAUCUAUUGAUCGGGAGCAUUUAGGAAUUAACCACCAAUGACGCAUGUCUCAAAUUCUCAACUCUUGAGAAUAUAUGUCAUCAUCUUAUUAAUUCCUUGAACGAUUCAUGGACACAUAUACAACAUGAAUGGAAAUAAUAACCCAAAUUUAUUCAUAAUAUUUUAAAAUCAAAUACAAAUUUAUGUCCUAGAAAGAGUACAUGUGUCAGCCUAGUUGGCUUCUAGGGCAUACAUCUAACAAUCUCCCACUUGUAUUAAAGCCAAUCAACCAUAUACGUAAGCCCCAUCUUCUCAAGGUGGACUUCAGUCUUCUGCUGGCUAAGUGGUUUAGUCAAUGGGUCUGCCACGUUAUCCGUGGAGUCUAUUCUCUGCAUCUCGAUGUAUUUCUUGUCGAGGUAGUCGCGUAUAAUAUGAAACCGCCGCUCUAUAUGCUUGGACUUCUGAUGAGACCUGGGCUCCUUAGCUAGGGCUAUGGCGCCAUUGUUGUCGCAAUAGAGUGGUAUGAAAUCCGAUGACAUCACACUUAAUUCCGCGGCAAACUUCAUGAAUCAGAAGGCCUACAUCAAAUGCGGCGAUAUACUCUGCUUCCAUGGUAGGGUGGUUGUUUGGAACUCUUCCAAUACACCAAGCCACUAUUGCAUAAGAACACACAUCCUGACAUAGACUUUCUAUCGUCAACAUCAGACAUAAAGUCUGAAUCAGUAUAUCCUUGUAUUUUCAACUCUCCUCCUCCAAAGCCCAAGAACAUAUCCUUAGUCCUUCUCAAGUAUUUGAGUAUGUUCUUCACAGCAAUCCAGUGCUCCUCAUCUGGAUUAGAUUGAUAUCUACUUGUGACACUCACAGCAAGCGCGAUAUCAGGUCGUGUACAUAGCAUGGCGUACAUAAGACUCCCUAUAGCUGAUGCAUAAGGGAUCUUACUCAUACGUUGAAUCUCUUCAAAUGUAUUGGGGCACAUUUUCUUAGAGAAAUAAAUUCCAUGUCUAAGAGGUAAAAGUCCCUUUUUGGAGUUUUCCGUGCUGAACCUCUUCAGCACCUCUUCUAUGUACAUUUUCUGUGAGAGGCCUAGCAUCCUUUUAGAUCUAUCUCUAUAGACCUUUAUCCCCAAAAUAUAGGAUGCUUCCCCUAGAUCUUUCAUGGAGAAUUCUUUAGACAACCAUAUUUUAACUGAAGUCAGCAUUGGAAUGUCAUUCCCAAUUAGGAGAAUGUCAUCCACGUACAAUACGAGGAAUGUGACAGCUCUCCCACUGACCUUCUUAUAAACACAUGGUUCCUCCUCAUUCUUAACGAAAUCAAACGAUUUAAUCACGUUAUCGAAACGAGUAUUCCAAGUCCGAGAUGCUUGCUUAAGUCCAUAAAUGGACCGUUGCAACUUGCAUACUUUGUGACUUUCGUCACCGGAAGUGAAACCCAAAGGCUGCUCCAUAUAGAUAUCUUCCUCAAGAUAUCCAUUUAGGAAGGCAGUUUUCAGAUCCAUUUGCCAAAUAUCAUAAUCAUAGUAUGCUGCAAGGGCAAGCAGUGUUCGAAUGGAUUUAAGCAUGGCCACAGGUGAAAAGGUCUCCUGAUAGUCAAUGCCUUCGCGUUGACUAUAACCUUUCGCAACCAGCCUUGCUUUAUAGGUCUCUACCUUUCCAUCCGAACUUAUCUUUCUUUUGUAGAUCCAUUUACACCCGAUAGGUACUAUACCUUCUGGUGGGUCUACCAAAAUCCAAACCUGCUUGGAAUGCAUUGAGUCAAUUUCUGACUUCAUGGCAUCCAGUCAUUUCUCGGAAUCGAUGUCAGACAUCGCCUCAUUGUAGGUUUUGGGAUCAUCUCCAUGUUCCCUAUCUCCUAUGAGGAACAUUUCCUCUACUUCCUCUGUAACGAUAUCUAAGUAUCUUUUAGUGGUAUGGGAGAUUCUACUCGACCUACGAGGUGGAGGAGGUACUACGUGUACUGGCUCAGCUUGAAUAGGUUUUGUAAGUUUGAUGACUCGUUGCUCUUCAGAGACUCUCUCUUCGAGCUCAAUUUUUCUCCCACUAGCUUCUUGAAUAAAUUAUUUUUCCAAAAAAAUAGCAUGUUUGCUUACAACUACAUUGUGAUUCUCCGGGAUAUAAAAAUAGUAACCUAAAGUUUCUUUAGGAUAUCCAAUAAAACGAGCCUUCUCAGACCUAGCCUCUAACUUGUCCGCCUGUAGUCGCUUAACAUGGGCCGGACACCCCCAAAUCUUGAUAUGGCCAAGACUUGGUUUCUUACCAUGCCACAUCUCAUACGGCGUAGUAGGAACAGAUUUAGAGGGAACUCUAUUUAACAAGUAAGCUGCAGUAAGCAAAGCAUGUCCCCAAAGAAAUAAAGGAGGAUCAGUGAAGCUCAUCAUGGAUCGAACCAUAUCCAAUAAGGUUCGGUUUCUCCGUUCUGACACCCCGUUGAGUUGAGGUGUUCCCGGAGGAGUCCACUGUGAGACUAUGCCGUUUUCUUUGAGAUAAUUUAGGAACUCUCCACUAAGGUAUUCUCCUCCUCGAUCUGAUCGAAGAACCUUGAUGGAUUUUUCAGUUUGUUUUUCUACUUCAUAUCUGAAUUCUUUGAACUUUUCAAAAACCUCAGAUUUGUGUUUCAUAAGAUACACAUACCCAUACCGUGAAUAAUCAUCGGUAAAGGUUAUGAAGUAGAGAUAACCACCCCUAGCAUGCACAUCAAAUGGCCCACACACAUCAGUGUGUAUCAAGGAAAGUAUCUCAGUGGCCCUUUCCCCUUGUCCUACAAAGGGUAAUUUAGUCAAUUUUUCUUGAAGACAAGAUUCACAAACUGGAUAAGACUCUGAAGUCAAUGAGCCGAGAAGCCCAUCUUUAUCCAAUUUAUUGAUCCUUUCUUCUCCAAUAUGACCAAGCCUGAGGUGCCACAUAUACUUUAGGUUCAUCUCAUCUCUAGGUCUCUUAGACCCAACAGCAGUCACUACUUGCUCAGAAAUAUUUGCAGAAACAUCCAUAUAUAAAUGAUAAAGACUGUCAAUCAUAAAACCACGACUAAUAAUAUUGUUUCUAAAAUAAAUUAUGCAGUAGUCUUUGUCAUAAUUAAAAUUAUAACCGUCCCGUGCUAAAGAAGAAACAUAAAUUAAAUUCCUGCUAGCAGCAGGUACAUAAUAAUAGUCUUUAAGUAAUAAAACAUAUUCUGACGGUAGUCGCAAAAGGAUAUGUGCCAGCAGCCACAGCAGCAACUCUUGCCCCGUUGCCCACCCAUAGGGUCACUUCACCUUCCUUAAGCCCUAUACUUUCCCAUAGACCCUGCAUUGAAGUACGCAGAUGAGAACUAGAACCAGAGUCUAUAACCCAACUAGAAGUAGAGGAAACCGUAAGGUUAGUUUCUAUUACGAACAAGUCUGACAUACCUUCCGAAGGUGUGUCCUUCUUUUUAUUCUUCAAGCUCUCCAGGUAGACAGGACAAUUUCUCUUCCAAUGACUAUCAACGUUGCAGUGGAAACAUUUUCCUUUGUCAGCGGCCUUAUUCUUAGGAACUUCCUUCUUGGGCUUAUUUUCCGUCUUUUGUUUCUUCGCGGGUUUCUUCCUCCAAUUAGACUUUCUUUUGGAAGAGGAAGCUCGCACCACAGCGAGAAUUGAGCCCUUUGAAAUUUUCAAAGUCCCUUCUAUAGUUACCAACAUGUUCAAUAACUCAGCGUUGGUGCAAUCAAUUUUAUUCAUAUGGUAGUUUAUAAUAAACUGUCCAUAUGAUACAGGAAGGGAUUGGAGGAUCAGAUCAACUUGCAAUUCCUUAUUCAUUUUCACGCCAAGCUUCUCAAGCUCCUCGAGGUCUUUGAUCAUUGUCAAACAGUGAUCAUGAACAGACUGCCCAUCGUGCAUCUUGGCUUUAAAGAGUCUUUUGGACACUUCAAAACGAGCAGAUCGGCUUUGCUCACCAUACAACUACUUGAGGUGAGUUAGCAUUUCCUUAGCAGUCUUCAUAUCCUCAUGUUGGCGUUGAAGUUCAUUUGACAUCGACGCCAAAAUGUAGCACCUUACUUUAUUAUCGUCAUCCGUCCAUUUUUCCUGAGCUGUCCUUUGAUCAGCUGUAGGACGGUUUGGUAAUGUGGGGGGGUCCUGGUUGAGAAUAUAACUAAGCUUUUCGGAACUCAAAACUAUUUUUAAGUUCCUUAACCAAUCUUUAUAAUUAGUUCCAAUUAAACGGUUUGAAUCAAGAAUUCGAGAGAGAGGAUUGGAAGCGGACAUUUUAUUCUGCAGAGAGUAAAUAUUCAAAAUUAGAUAUUUGUAUUUGUUUUGAAAAUUUGUUUUAGGGAUUUUAAAAAUAAAUUUAGCCUCCCACUAUUUUCUCGAGUCUCUUACACUCCUCGGGUAGAGAAACGAAAACCCAACACGACAAAAGGUUGCAAGUGGGUACUGCAGUCCCACCAGUUUAACGUACCACCUCACCUAACAGUUAUUGGUGAUAUGCAAACCGAUGAGUGGACAACUCUUGUCCAAUGCUUCUCAAGCAAAUUGGAGAGAUCGGUCUCUAAGUCCUGUAAGCCUCACCUGACAGUUAUUGGCCCCAUUCCUUAGUUAAGUCAGACUCACCGUUCAAACGCGUAAGCAAAACCGUCAUUGGGUCCCUCAACUGACAGUUAUUGGGCCGAACACCAUCUUUACUCCGAAGCAUCUCAUGCUAAUAGAGUGGUUGCGAAUUCCCGAUGCAACUGACCACUGUAACCAGCCGUGCCAAUCAACACCAGAAAAGCGCCCGCACUUCUACAACGGCGGAAGACCGCUCGACUUAAUAUUUAUGAGGAGAUUUAUUUGGGUCUCAAAAAAUAUUUUAUUUCUUUACAUCUAAUGCAAAUAAAAUAAAAAAUCAAUCCGCACAAACAAAUAUAAUUAAACUGGUGAUGAUCAUGGAUCUUAGAAGUGGAUUCGGACUCGAGCCACUGAGUCGGAAUCGGGGUCUUAGGGUCAUAAAUUACAAGCACACACACGUCAUUGGUUUGAUUGUUUUCAACUUCUUGAUCCGAUCUGGAGCUUCAACUUGAUCCGAUCCUUAUCAACACCUUGAUCUGACCGUCAUCAAGUAUUCGUCUCUAUCCGGACCUUGCGAACUUUUGGGCUUGCAACCGAUCAACCAAUGACGUGCAAUCAUACAUUAUGCAACCCAAUAAUAAAAAUAAAAUAAAAAUUAAUUACAAUUGAUAACUUUUAUCUCUAAUCUAUUGAGACACGCAGGUCUCCAAAUAAAUCGGCUUGUGCAUGCAAGCACAAAUAUAGCCAUCUCUAAUACAAAAUCCUUAAUUUAAACAAAUUUAAAAUUACAGGAUUCGGCAUACACAUCAUACAUCACAUGUCAAAAUAUAAAUAGGUCGCUAUCCAUGAUCAUCACCGUAUCUCAUACAUCACAUGCAUAAUAAUAAAUUUUGGAUAUUCUAAUUAACCGUUAACCGAUGAUUCGAAAGAAUAAAUUAUUAAAAAUAAUCAAUCUUAUGAAUUAUAAUAAUUUUGAUCAACAAUUUAAUCUACAAAAAUAACAUCUUGAUCUCAUCAAGAAAUCAAUUUGAUCUAAUCAAAUUAGAUUCACCCUUUUCUUUUAUUUUAAAAACGAUCUAAUCAGCUUUUAAAAAAAUGUUUAAGAAUUUUUUUAAAAAAAUUUUGUCAUCCAUACGGACGCUACAGUAGCAUCCAUACGGAUGCUACAGUAAUUGCUACAGUAACAUCUUUUUUUUUUUUUUUUUGCUUGCAUGCUAGAAAUCAUCAAUUAAAUUGUUUGAUCAAUUUGAUUUUUCGAAUCAACCAAACAACGAUCUAUAAAUCUUUUGAUCGGCGAAAAACAGUUUAGAAUACCCAAAUUCAUAAUUUUAAUCUUAAAAAAAACAUGAGGAUGGCUCUGAUACCACUGUUAGAAAAUUGGUAAAACGCAACGGAAAAGAAAAUCAAAUAAAUUUGAUUUUUGAAAACUCUCGAGAUCCAAUCUCAAAAAUCACGCAAUUGGGAUCCCUCAUGUUCUUAAGAAUAAAGAAGAAAAGUAAGAUCGAAACUUUACCUUAUUCGCGGAUAAAUCUUUAUCUCAAUUUGAUGAUCGUGGAAUUCGGUUCUCUUGAAGCCGCACACGCGUCCGGCCUCUAUAGGUAUCCACACGAGGUUCUUGAUUUGAUCGAUGUCCUCACCGGGGUGCUAGCUCCCUUACAAAAUGACGUCUUUCUUACUAGAAGAUGAGAAAAGAGGAUAGAUGACGGCUUCGGUUUUCUAAAAACUCCCGUAUAUUAUAUAUAGGAAUUUAAUCCUAUUCCUAAUAAUAUAAUAACCAUUAAGGAUAAGUACAAAUCUAGAUAUAAAUUUAUCCUUUCCUUAAUUAGUUACAUCAAUCAAAUCCCAAUUUGAUUCGACUUGAACUUUAUAUUAAUUUGAUCUUAUCAAAUUAAUAAUGCAAUAUUUGCACAUAAGUCCUCUUAUAAUUUACUAACUAUUAGUAAGUCCUCUCUAGUAACAUUUACAUUUUAAUACCACUAAUUUGUAACAAUUACAAAUUAGUCUAAUUAUCAACAUAUUGACAAUUAGAUCCUCCGACGAUUCAAUAAUCGCGAUCUAGCUAUCUGAUCAAUCACAACCUCUUACGUGUGUGACCCCAUAGGUUCUAUUCUAUCUGCUAGUGAGAUAUAUUUUGAUCACUAUCAACAAUAUCACUGAAACUCCUUUCAGUGGAUCAGAACAAUUCCAACUCAGCCCAAUGAGAAUUAUCGAUCAUCUAGAUAAUUCUCAUGAGUCUCACAAUCCACCAGUGACGCCUAGCAGCAUGUAGUGGCAUUCCA
rnacentral:lncRNA from 1 species